CGGUAAACGGCGGCCGUAACUAUAACGGUCCUAAGGUAGCGAAAUUCCUUGUCGGGUAAGUUCCGACCUGCACGAAUGGCGUAAUGAUGGCCAGGCUGUCUCCACCCGAGACUCAGUGAAAUUGAACUCGCUGUGAAGAUGCAGUGUACCCGCGGCAAGACGGAAAGACCCCGUGAACCUUUACUAUAGCUUGACACUGAACAUUGAGCCUUGAUGUGUAGGAUAGGUGGGAGGCUUUGAAGUGUGGACGCCAGUCUGCAUGGAGCCGACCUUGAAAUACCACCCUUUAAUGUUUGAUGUUCUAACGUUGACCCGUAAUCCGGGUUGCGGACAGUGUCUGGUGGGUAGUUUGACUGGGGCGGUCUCCUCCUAAAGAGUAACGGAGGAGCACGAAGGUUGGCUAAUCCUGGUCGGACAUCAGGAGGUUAGUGCAAUGGCAUAAGCCAGCUUGACUGCGAGCGUGACGGCGCGAGCAGGUGCGAAAGCAGGUCAUAGUGAUCCGGUGGUUCUGAAUGGAAGGGCCAUCGCUCAACGGAUAAAAGGUACUCCGGGGAUAACAGGCUGAUACCGCCCAAGAGUUCAUAUCGACGGCGGUGUUUGGCACCUCGAUGUCGGCUCAUCACAUCCUGGGGCUGAAGUAGGUCCCAAGGGUAUGGCUGUUCGCCAUUUAAAGUGGUACGCGAGCUGGGUUUAGAACGUCGUGAGACAGUUCGGUCCCUAUCUGCCGUGGGCGCUGGAGAACUGAGGGGGGCUGCUCCUAGUACGAGAGGACCGGAGUGGACGCAUCACUGGUGUUCGGGUUGUCAUGCCAAUGGCACUGCCCGGUAGCUAAAUGCGGAAGAGAUAAGUGCUGAAAGCAUCUAAGCACGAAACUUGCCCCGAGAUGAGUUCUCCCUGACUCCUUGAGAGUCCUGAAGGAACGUUGAAGACGACGACGUUGAUAGGCCGGGUGUGUAAGCGCAGCGAUGCGUUGAGCUAACCGGUACUAAUGAACCGUGAGG
rnacentral:rRNA from 1 species